rnacentral:rRNA from 1 species
UACGAAGGGGGCUAGCGUUGUUCGGAAUUACUGGGCGUAAAGGGCGCGUAGGCGGCCGUUUGCGUCGGAUGUGAAAGCCCGGGGCUCAACCCCGGAACGGCAUCCGAUACGGGACGGCUGGAGACCGGGAGAGGAGGGUGGAAUAGCCAGUGUAGAGGUGAAAUUCGUAGAUAUUGGCUGGAACACCGGUGGCGAAAGCGGCUCUCUGGCCCGGUUCUGACGCUGAGGCGCGAAAGCGUGGGGAGCAAACAGG